rnacentral:RNase_P_RNA from 1 species
UUAGGCUACUGGACGGUCGCUCGCUCUUUAUGUGGGCUAGAGGAAAGUCCGGGCAGCAUAGGACACGACAGUCGUUAACGGCGACCGGAGGAGACUCUAGGGAAAGUGCCACAGAAACUAUACCGCUACCUCAAGCUUAUACAAAAUACAGUGACUGGUAGUAAGGGUGAAAAGAGUAGUGUAAGAGACUACAAUCAGCUAUGGUGACAUAGCAGAGAUGGUAAACCCUGUCGGCUGCAAGGCGUAUUAUCAACAAGAGUUGUCCGCUUGAUGAUACUAAAAUCCGCUUGAACUGUAUAGCAAUAUUCAGUCUAGAUAGAUGAUCGUUCACGACAAAACCCGGCUUAUAGGUAGCCUAUAUUA